CCUACGGGCGGCAGCAGUGGGGAAUAUUGCACAAUGGGGGAAACCCUGAUGCAGCGACGCCGCGUGAGUGAAGAAGGAAUUCGGGAUGUAAAGCUCUAUCAGCAGGGAAGAAAAUGACGGUACCUGAGUAAGAAGCCACGGCUAACACCGGGCCAGCCGCCGCGGUAAUACGGAGGGGGCAAGCGUUAUCCGGAUUGACUGGGUGGAAAGGGCGCGUAGACGGCAGGGCAAGUCUGGCGUGAAAGGCGGGGGCUCAACCCCCGGACUGCUCUGGAAACUGUACGGCUGGAGUGCAGGAGAGUUUAGUGGAAUUCCUGGUGUAGCGGUGAAAUGCGUAGAUAUUAGGAGGAACACCAUUGGCGAAGGCGGCUUACUGGACUGUAACUGACGUUGAGGCUCGAAAGCGUGGGGAGCAAACAGGAUUAGAUACCCCAGUAGUC
rnacentral:rRNA from 1 species